rnacentral:lncRNA from 1 species
AAGAGGGAUCGGCCAAGAACCGGGCCGCAGGAGCAUCAAUAGAAACGCU